GUGUUGUAUGAAAGGAGAGAAAGUUAGCACUCCCCUUGACAAGGUCGGACGACACACCCGGUCAAUUGCAGCACACAAUUGGCCACUAUUUUUU
rfam:Folsomia candida strain VT population Fcan01_Sc015, whole genome shotgun sequence.